rnacentral:rRNA from 1 species
AUGAACGCUGGCGGCGUGCUUACACAUGCAAGUCGAACGAGAAAGCUCCUUCGGGAGUGAGUACAGUGGCGAACGGGUGCGUAACACGUUGGUGACCUGCCUUGAGGAGGGGGACAACCGUGGGAAACCACGGCUAAUACCCCGGAUGUCUAAACUGUUAGAGGGUUUAGACUAAAACUUCGGUGCCUCAAGAGGGGCCUGCGGGCUAUCAGCUUGUUGGUGGGGUAAUGGCCUACCAAGGCUAAGACGGCUAGGGGGCGUGAGAGCGCGACCCCCCACAAUGGAACUGAGACACGGUCCAUACUCCUACGGGAGGCAGCAGUGAGGAAUAUUGCGCAAUGGGGGAAACCCUGACGCAGCAACGCCGCGUGAACGAUGAAGGCCUUCGGGUCGUAAAGUUCUUUUCUAAGGGAAGAUAGUGACGGUACCUUAGGAAUAAGUCCCGGCUAACUACGUGCCAGCAGCCGCGGUAAAACGUAGGGGGCGAGCGUUAUCCGGAUUUAUUGGGCGUAAAGCGCACGUAGGUGGCGCUGUAAGUUAGACGUGAAAGCUCUCGGCUCAACUGAGAGAGGUCGUUUAAAACUGCAGUGCUUGAGGUUAGAAGAGGAGAGCAGAAUUCCCGGUGUAGUGGUGGAAUGCGUAGAUAUCGGGAGGAAUACCAGUGGCGAAGGCGGCUCUCUAGUCUACACCUGACACUGAGGUGCGAAAGCGUGGGUAGCGAACGGGAUUAGAUACCCCGGUAGUCCACGCUGUAAACGAUGGAUACUAGGUUGUAGGGGGUCAC